UACGGAGGAUGCAAGCGUUAUCCUGAUUUAUUGGGUUUAAAGGGUGCGCAGGUUGUUUGAUAAGUCAGUGGUGAAAGUCUGUCGCUUAACGGUAGGAUUGCCAUUGAUACUGUUAGACUUGAAUAUGGAUGAGGUAGGCGGAAUGUGUAGUGUAGCGGUGAAAUGCAUAGAUAUUACACAGAACACCGAUUGCGAAGGCAGCUUACUAAUCCAUCAUUGACGCUGAGGCACGAAAGCGUGGGGAUCAAA
rnacentral:rRNA from 1 species